rnacentral:tRNA from 1 species
CCAUUGGUGGUGCAGUGGUAGAAUUCUCGCCUUCCAAGUGGGAGACUCAGGUUUGAUUCCUGGCCGAUGCA